UUAUACAAACCACACCCUUAUUUUUCUCAGACUAACAGUAUGUUGCAAGGGGCAUGCGCGCACACGCUCUCUCUACAUCAAUGCACAACACAGUUUUCUAGUCUUGAUUGGGCGCUUGCGUUACAUGCGGACUGAUAUUUCAAUCUCGUGGAUUUCUUCCUUGAAAUGUUACUCGUGGGAAAAGUUUAUAUGCUACCUAGGCCUUGAGGAAAAACGUAGAACCGCACUGCAAAAACCGCUGAGAUGGGUUAUUCCUUCAAUGGAAAACUCUCAAAUAGCUUGACAACUAUAGAUCUGACAACAAAAAAAAAAAAAUACAAAUUUCAAACCUCAAAAAUAGUACAUUUUGUAAUAUAUUAUCUAGACUAUUCAUUUUCAAGUGUCCAAAUAUGUCAUGAUUUGCACCAUUUUACUGCUUCAAAAUUAAUGAAUAGGGAUGGGAAUGAAUUUUUAAGACACAAUUAGAGCUUUUAGAGCCAAAACUGCAUUUUCCUACGAGGUAUUGAAGAUCCAUCCCUACUUUUUCUGCCUAGACCUCAUGCCUUUCCUACCUAAUGUUCGUGCACCAUAUUAUUGAAAUUCUUAAAUAUUUGUACUGAAAUAAAGGAAAUUUCUAGAUAAAUGCCGUUACAAGAUGUAUAUUUGGAAAAAAGGAGAGCAUACUUCCACAAAGUAUUCAAGAAUUUCAUUAAAAAACCUCAAUCAAUUAGGUGUGAAAACUAUUCUGAAUUGAAUCAGUUACUUUCAAGGCUCGAGUAAGUUGAAGGGUGGUGGUUUCAGAGCCUAUGUGAGAUAUGUUAGCAGCCAUCAGGAGUUCUAAAAAGGGAAUUUACCAAACCAACUUCCCCCCCCCCCCCUCCCCCCCUUUUUAAUCCGUUAAUCAUCGGAAUCGAGGUUGGGAUGUUGAGUCGAGGCAUCCACCCCCCAACCACCAAUGGCCUAACCUGACCAACCACCUUUGCAUUGUCUUCACCUUCCAAGAUAUGCAUGAGCAUGCUCACAUGCUUCAUGUAUGGGCAUGUGUGCACAAUUUGAUGUUUUGAAUUGCCUCCAUUUCUUGGCUAGUUCUUGUGGCCACGAAUCUGUGCAGGGAGGAAUCGAUAACGGCCACGGCCGAUCUUGAAGCUUUGAUGCUAACAGCACAUAUGCAUGAUCAAUAUGCAUCAUCAAUAAGUCCUAACUACUUGUUGGAAUCCACUCAAAAGGGAAGUUACGCUAUAUUCAACUAUAAAAUGGAAGUAAUCAAUGUAUGCAUUGCAGUUUACAUUAGUUGAAAGGUUGGAAAAGCCAAAGAAUGAGAUAUCGAUCAAAUCCAACUUUUGAGCUUUCAAUCAGUCUUGAUAUCGGGCUUCUCAAAUAUGGUACAG
rnacentral:lncRNA from 1 species